ACUGGGCCGCGCAGGCCUGACCGCCGCCGGGGUGGCCGCGCCUGCCCCGCAGUGCCCGGCCCCGCCACCCCGGAGCCGCGGCGCGCCCGCCCCGGCCCUGCCGAGGGGCGGCCCGGCGGCCGCGGGCCUUACCUGGAUCCCACGGGCGCCUCAGGCCCCGCCGCCGCUGCCGUCCCCGCGCCGCCGCUCGCCGGCCGGAGGCGGAGCCGCCGCAGCCCGGGCUCGGCGCCCUCUACCGGGGCCGGGGCCUGGCGGACCCGGGGUGGGACAGGGAGGGCGGGCGGCGCCGGGGCCGCUCACUUAUCCGCCCUUGUGCCCAUCGGUUUGGGAGUGGAGGUACCUCUCACAGAAUCACAGGGAUUCAUUCAGACCAGGACCAAAGAGGAACUUCUGUGUCCCAUGGAUCUCAUUGUCAGAUUGCCACCAUGCCACAGAGUGCAGAGGCCAGGAAACCCCUAGCACAAGAUCUGUAGUUGUGUGAGGGCUUGGGAACUUCCAACAUGAGCCAUUUGCCAUUAGAUGGCAGCGAAAAGCUCCUCUCAAAGCUGCCACGGGCUCGGGCUUCCUUCACAAGAGGCUUUGCUCAGCCACAGACCGGUCAUAUCUAUCUCUAAGAAGAAUGUUCUUUAAGCUGCUUUCAGCUGCAUUGGCAUCCUGCACAAAGAAUCCCUUUCCAGAAGCAAGCAAGAUUUCACAAAGCACCUUUGACUGCAGCUUACUUAUUCCUUGAAAACACAUCUUAGACAUUAAAGAUGGAUAAUUAAUGGAGUAAGUAGAAGACCACAUUGAGUCAUAAGAAGAAAGAAUAUGGAGGUGGGAAGUGCAGACUGCUCUAAUCAGCACUGCAGAAGCAACAGAGGCCACCCUAAUCAGUCAGAGCAGGGUGACCCACCUAAACCAGAAAUACAUAGCUGCUUUGCUGUUGAAAACUGGUGUUACAUCACUGGUUAAGCAAAUGAGAGGAAAACACUCCAGAGGUGUAAAAGAUGUGUAAAUUGCACAGUGGAAGAUCUGGGAUGAUCUGUCUCCUAUGGAAGUGUGUCCUUGCAACACCAGCUGUCUAAACUCUGCGUGUUCUCAUCACUGUGUGACCACCCCUUCUGUACACCUCUCCUAAGGAUACCCUGUGAUACAGUGUUCACCAUCUAAAAGAUAGAUGAAGUCUGGACACUCUUAGUGACACACGAUACAUGCUUCCAUUAGUUCAUCUUUUCAAAUCCUAGACUACUCCCUUUUUCUAUUGUGAAAUGGGAAGAAGAGCUGAUCUACCUUCUAGAAUUUGGCCAUUUAUAUACAUUUUAAUAACAUUUGCUGUUAUUUUGGCUUAUAAAAUAAACAGUUCCAACUUAA